rnacentral:rRNA from 1 species
AUUGAACGCUGGCGGCGGGCCUAACACAUGCAAGUCGAGCGGAUGAAGGGAGCUUGCUCCUGGAUUCAGCGGCGGACGGGUGAGUAAUGCCUAGGAAUCUGCCUGGUAGUGGGGGAUAACGUCCGGAAACGGGCGCUAAUACCGCAUACGUCCUGAGGGAGAAAGUGGGGGAUCUUCGGACCUCACGCUAUCAGAUGAGCCUAGGUCGGAUUAGCUAGUUGGUGGGGUAAAGGCCUACCAAGGCGACGAUCCGUAACUGGUCUGAGAGGAUGAUCAGUCACACUGGAACUGAGACACGGUCCAGACUCCUACGGGAGGCAGCAGUGGGGAAUAUUGGACAAUGGGCGAAAGCCUGAUCCAGCCAUGCCGCGUGUGUGAAGAAGGUCUUCGGAUUGUAAAGCACUUUUAGUUGGGAGGAAGGGCAGUAAGUUAAUACCUUGCUGUUUUGACGUUACCAACAGAAUAAGCACCGGCUAACUUCGUG